CCUACGGGAGGCAGCAGUGGGGAAUUUUGGACAAUGGGCGCAAGCCUGAUCCAGCAAUGCCGCGUGAGUGAAGAAGGCCUUCGGGUUGUAAAGCUCUUUUGUCAGGGAAGAAACGGUGAGAGCUAAUAUCUCUUGCUAAUGACGGUACCUGAAGAAUAAGCACCGGCUAACUACGUGCCAGCAGCCGCGGUAAUACGUAGGGUGCAAGCGUUAAUCGGAAUUACUGGGCGUAAAGCGUGCGCAGGCGGUUUUGUAAGUCUGUCGUGAAAUCCCCGGGCUCAACCUGGGAAUUGCGAUGGAGACUGCAAGGCUAGAAUCUGGCAGAGGGGGGUAGAAUUCCACGUGUAGCAGUGAAAUGCGUAGAGAUGUGGAGGAACACCGAUGGCGAAGGCAGCCCCCUGGGUCAAGAUUGACGCUCAUGCACGAAAGCGUGGGGAGCAAACAGGAUUAGAUACCCUGGUAGUCCACGCCCUAAACGAUGUCUACUAGUUGUCGGGUUUUAAUUAACUUGGUAACGCAGCUAACGCGUGAAGUAGACCGCCUGGGGAGUACGGUCGCAAGAUUAAAACUCAAAAGUGAGUAGAGGCGUGAGACGUAGCGACGGACGACGACGAGGGAGGAGG
rnacentral:rRNA from 1 species